UCUGGUUGAUCCUGCCAGUAGUCAUAUGCUUGUCUCAAAGAUUAAGCCACGCAUGUGUAAGUAUAAGUAUUAUACGGCGAAACUGCGAAUGGCUCAUUACAUCAGUUAUAAUUUACUUGAUAAUCGAAAGUUACAUGGAUAACCGUGACAAAUUACAGCUAAUACAUGCAGUCAGACCUGGUCCAAGGGUCGUAAUUAUUAGUACCAAACCAUUUCCUCCGGGAGUGUGAUGAUUCAUAGUAAUCGAACGAAUCGCAGGUAUAUGCGAUAAGUCAUUCAAGUUUCUGCCCUAUCAGCUUUGGAUGGUAGUGUAUUGGACUACCAUGGCAGUCACGGGUAACGGAGAAUUAGGGUUCGAUUCCGGAGAGGGAGCCUGAGAAACGGCUACCACAUCUACGGAAGGCAGCAGGCGCGCAAAUUGCCCAAUCCCGACACGGGGAGGCAGUGACAAGAAAUAACAACUCUAGGACUUCUUAGAAGUGUAAUGAGGAUAAUUUACAAACCUUACCGAAUGCAAUUGGAGGGCAAGUCUGGUGCCAGCAGCCGCGGUAAUUCCAGCUCCAAUAGCGUAUAUUAAAGUUGUUGCAGUUAAAAAGCUCGUAGUUGAAGUUCUGAUCGUUCAGGUCCUCAGCCUUAGGCGGGGAUUCUGACGGUCAUCCGCUUGCAAACAUAUGUUCGAUCUUCACCGGUUGGCUAUGUGAGUAAGCAUUUUACCUUGAGAAAAACAGAGUGUUCCAGGCAGGUUUGUCCGGAAUGCAUUAGCAUGGAAUAAUAGAACAUGACUGAAGUCUAUUUAUUGGUUUAAGGCUUUAGUAAUGAUUAAUAGGAACAGUCGGGGGCAUUCGUACUCAGCAGUCAGAGGUGAAAUUCUAAGAUUUGCUGAAGACGAACUAAUGCGAAAGCAUUUGCCAAGGAUGUUUUCAUUAAUCAAGAACGAAAGUUAGGGGAUCAAAGACGAUCAGAUACCGUCCUAGUCUUAACUAUAAACGAUACCGACUCGGAUUCAGAUGAAUCAAAAAGUUCAUUUGGGACCGUAGGAGAAAUCAAAGUUUUUGGGUUCUGGGGGGAGUAUGGUCGCAAGGCUGAAACUUAAAGGAAUUGACGGUUUUGCACCACCAUGAAGUGGAGUCUGCGGCUUAAUUUGACCCAACACUGGGAAACUCAUCAGGGCAAGAAGAUUUUAGGAUUGACAGAUUGAGAGUC
rnacentral:rRNA from 1 species